UGGGGAAUCUUGCGCAAUGGGCGAAAGCCUGACGCAGCAACGCCGCGUGUGUGAUGAAGGUCUUCGGAUCGUAAAGCACUGUCGGGAGGGACGAAUAAGGCGGCGGCUAACAUCCGCAGCCGAUGACGGUACCUCCAAAGGAAGCACCGGCUAACUCUGUGCCAGCAGCCGCGGUAAUACAGAGGGUGCUAGCGUUGUUCGGAAUUAUUGGGCGUAAAGCGCGUGUAGGCGGCUCCGCAAGUUGGGUGUGAAAGCCCUCGGCUUAACCGAGGAAGUGCGCCCAAAACUACGAAGCUUGAGUACCGGAGAGGGUGGCGGAAUUCCCGGUGUAGAGGUGAAAUUCGUAGAUAUCGGGAGGAACACCAGCGGCGAAGGCGGCCACCUGGACGGAUACUGACGCUGAGACGCGAAAGCGUGGGUAGCAAACAGG
rnacentral:rRNA from 1 species